UACGGAGGGUGCAAGCGUUAUCCGGAUUCACUGGGUUUAAAGGGUGCGUAGGCGGUUUGGUAAGUCUUAUGUGAAAUCUACAGGCUCAACUUGUAGUCUGCAUGAGAAACUGCCGGGCUUGAGUAUGGGAGAGGUGAGUGGAAUUCCUGGUGUAGCGGUGAAAUGCGUAGAUAUCAGGAGGAACACCUGUGGCGAAAGCAGCGUGCUGGACCUUUUCUGACGCUGAGGCGCGAAAGCCAGGGGAGCAAACGGG
rnacentral:rRNA from 1 species